rnacentral:lncRNA from 1 species
AGGAAUCUUUAUACUAUAAGGGCAGUGCCUUUUACAGAGAUUAGGUCGAUUCGCAGGCACACUUCUACCCUUGGGUGGCAAUACGUAAUUGUUGUUCUGUCAUCAGGUGUUGUUUUUACAUUGAUUCUGUACAUGCAAUCAUAUUAGUAUAUUAAUAAUUUUUAUGCAAAUACUCUCUGUUUGCUUCAUUUUCUUAUUUGUUAUUUUCCUUUGGCAGGUUUAGCUUUUCCUCCUCUUUAUUUUUAUAAUGGAGGAGUUCAAGAUUUUCUUGCUACAAUAAAAGAAACAUGUUCAUCUUGUCAGGUUUGUUAUAAUAACACCUAAUUGUUGAAUUUUUAUCUUUAAUGCAAUUAAAAAUUUGUUGAUGGUUUUAUAUGCUAAACCGGUAACAGAAGUACCUUAUGGAUACACUUAAAGAUAAGAUGACCCAUACAAUUGUGUUAAUGUUUGAUUGGUAAAAUCUGAAAUAUGGAAUGGGGCCUGUUUAUUUGCUCUAGAAAGUCAUUCUAGCUCUUCUAGGGAAGUCCACUGCUUGAAUGCUAAAAGUCUUUAUUUUGAUAAUGUACCAAUGACACUUGAAUGAUAUACAUGAAGAUUUAUCGAAACUGUCAUUGCUAGGACACUACAAAAAAUAUCUGUCGUAUCUCUUGGUAUACAAUACCUAAAUUUAUUUAUGAGUUAAUUAUCAAUUAGGUCACUUGCGUCGUUAGACAAUAUUUAAGUGGGUAAGUAGCUUUCUUUGUUAUCCAUUGUUUAUUUAUUCUAAGUUCAGUAAUUUAGUUGCUUAUAAGGAUUGAUAAUUUCAUCUUUGUUGUGCUGAUGUUCAAGUAAUUCACUUAUUAUAUUGGUAAGACUCUUAAUUUAUGUGAGUGUUUACUUUGCUUGAUGCACGAUUUUCGAGGCAUUUGGUUAAUGUCACUGUUUUGUGGGAAUUUAGGUUUUUUGCUAUGUUUUGUGAACUGUGUUGCAAGUAUUCCAGCAGCUGGAAAUUGAUUAUGUGAUCGGAGAGAGUCACAAAGAGUUGUUGCCUAAUUCUUCUGAUCCUGCUGCUAUUAUUCGAAUCUUUGGCGUCACAAGAGAAGGUAUCAUAUUGAUAUGCAUCUUUCUAGCUUCUCACAAAAGAGACCCAAUCAAAUCCUCAGGUCAACUCCUCCACCCCAUCUCUACUUACAUGCUCUCUAUAUCUCUAUUAUAUUUGCUACCUAUCUAUUGUUCAAAUUAGUGCUUUUAUGGGGUUUGUCCAACUCCAAUAUAUUGUAUGUUUAAUUUAAUUAUUGAUAGUAUCAAACUGAUAAUUGGGCUAUUUUUAUUAUUAAUGUUCAGAUUCUUGGGUUAUGUUUGUUUACAAUGUUAAUUGUUGAAUUUUUAUCUUUUAUGCAAUUAAAAAUUUGUUGAUGGUUUUAUAUGCUAAACCGGUAACAGAAGUACCUUAUGGAUACACUUAAAGAUAAGAUGACCCAUACAAUUGUGUUAAUGUUUGAUUGGUAAAAUCUGAAAUAUGGAAUGGGGCCUGUUUAUUUGCUCUAGAAAGUCAUUCUAGCUCUUCUAGGGAAGUC